GUAGUGUGUAAUCUACCCAACAGGAUUGAUCCAGGUCAGGCAUUAAAGGCUAAAAUGGAUUAAACAAAAGACAUUCCCCUUGUAACAAGAAGGAAAAACUUCAAAGGUGGGAUUUGUUCUUGUUAUGACAAAGGAAGUGGAUUUACCAAGUGCCUGGGGGCACACCCCUCCGCGGCUUUCAAUUUGCUCGAGUUGCUAUGAAGAAACAGGACAAAAUGCGUGGGGGUUUUCGCCGCGCGCUUCGGCGCUGCCGGAGCCCUCCCCGGGGUUGUCCCUGGUCAGUGGAAAUGCAGCUGUAGGCACGUUCCCAGUCCUGCACGUCUGGGGAGGAAAGAGGACCUUCAGGCCAACAAAUCUCACCAGGUGAGCAUUACAGCCACUCGCUUUUAUGAGACUUGCACCCUGCCGUGGGGGGAUUAUUGGUUUCUUCUUGUUCUUGAACCCACUCCAGAGCAAAGCUAAUUCUCCUCCCUGGCUGAGAAAAAGGCACAGUGGCAGUAGGCAUGGUGGCAGCAGGGCAUGGUGGCAACAAGUCAUGGUGGCAGGAGCCCUGCUGCCUACAACACUGCUCCCUUCAUCUUCUCUAGGUCCUGCUACCACCGCAGAGGACCUGCUGUGACUCUGGCACCAAAAACCCACGUCACUUGCUGAGGAAACCCAUAACACCCCAAACUUUUCCCAGCACUGUGCUUCCACAAAGCCCCAAAUGCACCUUUGUGGCUGGUGCAUCCAGGUCUGGAGCAUCUCAAGCUGGCCUGGGCUGAGCUCCUGGGCGAUCCUGCAAAGGUGCUGCGUGGUGGGACCAUGGUGGAUCCCAUGGUCUCUGAUACGUCUCGUGGCUGGGAUCCAAACUACAGCACAAAGGAGGCUCUUUGAAACCAAACUUCUAUCAUUUUUAACUAUUUCUUUAAGGGAACAAGACCUUGGGUCUAGCCUGUGUGAUUACAGCUGGGUUAAGUUAUAUGUGUCCAUGUGCCUCUGUGUGUGUACAAGUUUUCCACAUUAAAUUAGGCAAUUAGGCAAUUGGGUCCAAGCUGACAUCAAGAGAAGAGGUCCCCAGGUUUGCACAGUGACAGGCCUAUGGCAAUUAAAUGCGACAUGCUCAAUUAUCGAAAUGUGAAAGCAUCUUUGGGAAACUCCAUCUCCAUCCAUGCACGUUCUCUAUAUUAACCUACAGAGCUGAGCUACAACUCAUUUAUUUGUGGACCGAGAGGAAGGACUUCUUAUCUUUCAAUGCCUGAUGGCCAUAAUUAGGCUUAUUAUCGUACACAGGCCUUGGAAGCACAUUGCAAAAGGCUGUCUCUGAACAUGAGCUGCUUUUCACCAAGUGUCAAGCUGAGGAGCUGGGAGUGAGCGGACUUGUCUCUGCAGGGCCUUCUGCUUGGGCUCAGCAUCCUCCUGAUGAGAUCUUCUUGGGCCGAAAGCAGGAGGGACCAUCUCACCACUAGCAGGGAAGGACACUGGAGAACCAAUUAGGACUCAUAAAUGGCAAAUAAGGAUGCUGACAGUUACCACAGAGCAUCUUUCCCUUUUUUGCAGUACAGUUAUUUUCACAGAGCAUGCCCAAAUCCCUUUAAACACAAGUGUAAAUGGUUUCUGCUGAGAUCCUGUCCCAGCAAGUGCCCCAUCACAAACCUGUCAGUAGAAGAGGGAGGUGGCAGAGGUCUGCAGAGCCUUGAGCGGUGGGGAUGAUGGAGAAGAGUACAGCGUUUCAUUUUGCUUCAUAAAGCCAAGGCUAGCAGGCUAGUGCAUAAUUUCCAAGAAGCUGUAGGAAGCCCUUCAUCGCAGGACACAUGAUGAAAUUGUGGACCUCUUCACUGCAGGAGCCCCUGCAGAUCCAUAGGACCACCUCUGGCUGGAAGCAGUUGUGUGGCAGAGCAGUGGAGCUUGAAAAAGAUAAGCACAAGUUUGCUGGCUCCGCAGAACCUUGUAAAGGACAAAUGAAGAGUUGCAGAAGACGAAGGCACUGUCCGACACCGUUUCCUAAAUACAGAGGGAUCCUCUGAAGCUCGUCCUCUUCUGGGAUUGUCACCCUGAUCCUGGGAGAGGGGUUCAGCCUUGGUUUGUCUGGAUUCCAGGCACAGCGUUGCAAGAGAAGGGACUUGCCGUGUUGGCUGAACUCUCUGGAGAUGAGGUCCUUGGGAAGCCCUGAGGAAGGCAACUGCUCUGGUGAAUAAUUGUCACGUCUUCACUGUGUGGCCUGGGACAUUCCCAGUCCCAGCACGGGCUCCCACUGCCACCAGGCACCUGCUGUCAGAAGUUGACGAAUGUUCUCAUAUCGCCCAGCUGUGAGGAGCCGUGGGCACCACAAAAGAUAACCAGGAAUUUCAUCUGAUGCAUCCACUAUCUGGAAAGAGAUUAUUUUUCUUGAUGCUGAGCUGACUUUUCUGACCAUCUCAGUGUAGAUUUGGAGUCAAGUGUGGGGUCCCAGGAGGGAAAAGGAGGGGUGAUUCAUGUUGCGGCUAUCAGUGUUUCACACAUCUGAGAGUGUGGCGUGCCCCAGCUGAGAACUUCAAUUCACUUAGUGCAAGAUGAAAUGGCAGCUGUGUUGGAUUGAUAAAACAAUAAUAAUCGUGAUGAAAUAAUAGGCUUAAUGCCAGCUAUUGCUGUUUAGCCAAAAGGUCAUUUUGACAGAUGUAACUUUUAUCAGGAAGCAUCAAAAUAUCAGAUUUGUUUUUGAGUUUUUGAGGAGAGGGCACUGAGAAGACAAAGUGGGGAUGUUGAACAUGCCAGGACUUUUCUGGGCUCUGGCAUUUGGCUGGAAGCAGCUUAUGGUCUGCAAACGGCAGGUCCUCAGCUCCGGGGACAUCGUGGCCAGAGCUCUGCUGUGACCAGCACCAGGCUCUGCUGCCCUGGCUGAGAAACUCACCCACAAAUCACGUCCCUUUGGCUGAACUCUUAGGGUUUUUAUUUUUCUCUCAUCUCCUGAAACUGUGGGCAGGUUUCUGAUUCCUGCACCAGAAAAUACCUUCCUGCCUUGUCUUGGAAACCCGACGCAACAUUGCUUUGGUUCCCACCUGCCCUUGGUGGCCUGUCUGGUCCCCAUGUGCUGCCUCAGCUCUCCAGGGACUGCACAAGUUAUGCCAACACAGACCGUUCUGCCUUUCCUCCCUGGACCAGCUUAGUGCCCAUCCUAAGGAUGAUGGGGCUAAACUAUAUAUACAUACAUGACAAAAAUGGUUGUAUAGCUCUGCUCCUUGCCCAGGGCUGUGUCAGAAGACAUGUUGAUUGGGAAGACUAAGUCUUUAAUUGUGUGUCUCCCUUCUGCUGGUGGCUUUGCUGGAUCUCCACCUCUCUGCUUUCCCACCAGAGCCUGUCCUUGCCCUCCACUGCAACCCUCAAUUUGCCCAGAGGGUCUCACAUCCCUCCCGGAGGAGGGACCCUGCUCAUCCCGCUGCCGGGGCACUCUGUCUGGGCUCUCUAUCCUUCCUUGCUGCCCCAUGGGCUGUUCUUUUCCCCUCCUCUGAAGGUCAGAGCGGUGUCCUUGAACCUGCCCUUGCACGUGCAUCCUCACUGCCAUGGGUACCGUGUCCAGGGAUGUCACCGUUGGCUUCUCCACAUCAUGACAGCUUGCACCCAGACACGCUCUGUCAGCCUCAAGCUCCACAUUUCGGAAGCUCCCAGGGUCCCCCGGCAUCCCAGGGCCAGAGUUUGGGGUCUCCCCGCUCCUGCUUGCUCAAACUGCCGCCUCCCUGCCACUGCGGGUGGUUUCUAGCUUGCUGGGUGUGCACCUGCAAGCAGACCCCAGUUAAAACCAGUGCACCCCAGUUCAGCAAGGGGAGAAGCGGACUUGCUUUAUUUUUUGUUUUGCGAGCGAGAGGUGCUUUCCAGCACAAGCCAAAAGUGGGUCUUCUCUUGGCUUUGCCAGCUGAAGUGCGGGACUGCGCUAUUUGCAGCCGAGAAGCUGCUCUCCCACCGCUCCUGGAUCAAAUGCAAGCAGGAGCCGUGGGAGGCCAGCCCAUCUCUAACCGCGUGAAUCAAUCUGAAGGAAAGAGACAAAAUCCCCAAAUCUCAAAAUAAUGAAAACAAAGAUAUCCAAGUAAUAAAAUCUGCAAGAAGCACAAAGACGAUGUAACUCAGAUCUCAGCUGGCUCAAAGAAAGUGUCUAUUAACAAGGGAUUAGCGGGAGGGAAGUACACAACCAGUCAAUAGGAAGUGAAAAUACACCGCACAGUCGCCUAAUAUCACAGGCCAACGCAGGGUUAGGAUGAAGGCUGUGUUGGGCGAGUUAGAAUAAGAGCUACUCCAGAAAUCUAGCAAAUAAAAAAACAAGCGCUGCAAAGCCUGCCUUUGCUGUGGCGCCUGGUUUUUAAGAAACCUUGAAGACUCGUAGCUCUCAGUCAAAGAAAAAGCAUCUCGUUCUUUCACUCUGCAUACUUAUGCGCAUCCCUCACGUGCUGCACUUCACCGUUACACCUGAGAAAUAGAGAUUUUUUUCUUGUCUUGGGGCUUGUGUAUUUCCUUUCACUGCCAGGUCUGGUCUAGACUCGGACCUUCCAGAUGCCCUGGUAUCGACCUCCCUGGUAACACAAAUAGGAAUAAAAAAUGAGUAAGAUUGAUUAUGUUCUCCCCACGGCCAUUUUCCAGCUAGUCUGAAUGGGUCCAAAACUCUUCUUUCCCUAAAUUUCAUGAAAAUCAGUUAUUCUAUGAAAAGCACUGAUGGAUUGUGGAGUAUUUCUUAAAAAGCAGGGCAGGAGAAAGCGAUGUGUAAUUAAAUAUGCAGAGAGCGUAGCAUGUGUGGGUGAUACAUUCAUUUGGAGUAAUACACACACUUGCACUUCCAUCGUUAUUUAGAGAUUAAACCUGUGCAGCUCCUCAGUGCUCACGUCUGCCCGAAGCCCCCGUGGACUGCAGCAGGCGUUGGGGUCCCUUCUGAAGCCACGAAGCAUUAAACCCCAUCCCAAAAGUCAUGUGUGGCUCUACUCUUAAAUGAGUUUUCACAAGCCAAGCCUUGUUUUAGUAACUCAACG